GUCAAAAUCCUUGACAGGAAGAGAAAACUACUCAGAUAUAAAAGGAAAGAUGGCUAAGAGGUGAAACUAAAAAGUCAGAGAACAGAGACACAAGCCAUGAAGAAUUAUUCCAGAUUUUGAGACUUAUUUAAUCUUAAAGAUUUUCCUGGCUGGAUUUCAGAAUUCUCAUCAAGCAAUGACUCCCUUAUGCAUCCAAGUUUCUCUCCUUUUUUUAACAGAAAAUUUUACAACAGAUAGCCUAUGUCCAUCCUACUAUUGUACAUUGGGUGUGGAGAGUGGGGGACAGACAAUGUGUCUCUUCAGUUUCGUAGGUCUACACAUUGAAAGGAUAUGCACUUGAGAAGCUGUGCUUAAGGAACUAUAGCUGAUGAAUCCCAUCCAUACCUGCACCUGAUUUAAUAAGAUUCUGGACUUUGAUGCUACAACAAGAUGAAAUUUUGGGUGAUAUUGGUUGGGAGUGAAAGUAUUUUCAUGUGGGGUGGACAUGAAUUAUUGGGCUCCAGAGAAUAAAUUAUAGAAGGCAGUUUCUUAGAUGGCUCUAUUAGUCCUUAUCUUCUGGUAUUCAAGCCCUAGUUUAAACCCCUCCACUUGAGCGUGGGCUGGACUUACUGACUCUGAGAGAAAGUAUGUGAUAAUAUUAGAAUAUAGAAAGACUGAGAAUAGGGACUUCUAGAUUUCACGCUCUUGCUUGUUUUCUCCCUUUCCCAUUCUGAAGGAAGCCAGCUAUCAUGUCUUGAACUGCCUUAUGGAGAGAGUCACAUAGUGAGAAAUAGAAGGAGAUCUCCAGCCAACAUCCAGAAAGGAAAUAAGAGCCUCCAACAGCCUGCAGAACUGAGUUUUUCCAAGAAGCUCCUGAGUGAGCUUAAAAUAGGUUCCUCUCCCACAUGAGCCUUCAGAUGAAACCACAGCCCCAGCCAAUAGUUUGACUGCAACUUCAGGAAAGACCUUGGUCUAGAGGUACCCACCUAAGUUGCAGUCACAUUCCUGACUCAGAGGAACUGUGAGAAAAUAAAUGAUUACUGCUUUAAGCCUCCAAGUUUUGAGCUUACAUCUAUAACCGUGCCAAAAACACAGAAAUCAAGAGAAACAGCAGGGCCCAGAGGACCAGGUAAAAUUCUAGGAUUUGAAAGAACUGAAUUAAAGAACCACCACUGACUUUCUUGAGGUUGCAUGAACUCAUUUAGGCUAAUUAAAAACCAUCUAUGGAGUAAAAAUAAAAAUAAUCAUGUACUUCAUAAGGCUGUAUUGGGACUAACAAAUAAAAUGGAUCAUAAAGCACUUAACCAAAUAGAACCAAAGGGCUACACUACAA
rnacentral:lncRNA from 1 species